rnacentral:misc_RNA from 1 species
GUUGAAACCAAUUCCUUUUGCAAAAGAAGACAUGUAUCCCAAUAUUCCUUGAAGGUUGUAAAAGCAUUCCCAUUUUCAUCAUAUACGUCCCAUGGCUCAUAUAAAAGAUCUGCAUUGUAGCUCUGCACAGAAAUUCCGAGUUCAACUAGUUUUUCUUUAAUAUUGUGGUCUCGGACAAGUGAAAUGGGAUCGUAGAGACAGUUAAAU